GACGAACGCUGGCGGCGUGCUUAACACAUGCAAGUCGAACGAAGAGCGAUGGAAGCUUGCUUCUAUCAAUCUUAGUGGCGAACGGGUGAGUAACGCGUAAUCAACCUGCCCUUCAGAGGGGGACAACAGUUGGAAACGACUGCUAAUACCGCAUACGAUCUAAUCUCGGCAUCGAGGAUAGAUGAACGGUGGCCUCUACAUGUAAGCUAUCACUGAAGGAGGGGAUUGCGUCUGAUUAGCUAGUUGGAGGGGUAACGGCCCACCAAGGCGAUGAUCAGUAGCCGGUCUGAGAGGAUGAACGGCCACAUUGGGACUGAGACACGGCCCAGAAUCCUACGGGAGGCAGCAGUGGGGAAUCUUCCGCAAUGGAGGAAAGUCUGACGGAGCAACGCCGCGUGAGUGAUGACGGCCUUCGGGUUGUAAAGCUCUGUUAAUCGGGACGAAAGGCCUUCUUGCGAAUAGUGAGAAGGAUUGACGGUACCGGAAUAGAAAGCCACGGCUAACUACGUG
rnacentral:rRNA from 1 species